GACGAACGCUGGCGGCGUGCCUAAUACAUGCAAGUCGAACGAGAGCGACCGGUGCUUGCACUGGUCAAUCUAGUGGCGAACGGGUGAGUAACACGUGGGUAACCUGCCCAUCAGAGGGGGAUAACAUCCGGAAACGGAUGUUAAAACCGCAUAGGUCUUCGAACCGCAUGGUUUGAAGAGGAAAAGAGGCGCAAGCUUCUGCUGAUGGAUGGACCCGCGGUGCAUUAGCUAGUUGGUGAGGUAACGGCUCACCAAGGCCGUGAUGCAUAGCCGACCUGAGAGGGUGAUCGGCCACAUUGGGACUGAGACACGGCCCAAACUCCUACGGGAGGCAGCAGUAGGGAAUCUUCCGCAAUGGACGCAAGUCUGACGGAGCAACGCCGCGUGAGUGAAGAAGGUUUUCGGAUCGUAAAACUCUGUUGUUAGAGAAGAACAAGUGCUAGAGUAACUGUUAGCGCCUUGACGGUAUCUAACCAGAAAGCCACGGCUAACUACGUG
rnacentral:rRNA from 1 species